rnacentral:rRNA from 1 species
AAUGGUGGAUACCUAGGCACACAGAGGCGAAGAAUCACUAGUGAAUUC